rnacentral:rRNA from 1 species
GACGAACGCUGGCGGCGUGCUUAACACAUGCAAGUCGAACGGAAAGGCCCUGCUUUUGUGGGGUGCUCGAGUGGCGAACGGGUGAGUAACACGUGAGUAACCUGCCCUUGACUUUGGGAUAACUUCAGGAAACUGGGGCUAAUACCGGAUAGGAGCUCCUGCUGCAUGGUGGGGGUUGGAAAGUUUCGGCGGUUGGGGAUGGACUCGCGGCUUAUCAGCUUGUUGGUGGGGUAGUGGCUUACCAAGGCUUUGACGGGUAGCCGGCCUGGGAGGGUGACCGGCUACAUUGGGCCUGAGGUAGGGCCCAGACUCCUACGGGAGGCAGCAGUGGGGAAUAUUGCACAGUGGGCGGAAGCCUGAUGCAGCAACGCCGCGUGCGGGAUGACGGCCUUCGGGUUGUAAACCGCUUUCGCCUGUGACGAAGCGUGAGUGACGGUAAUGGGUAAAGAAGCACCGGCUAACUACGUG